GGCUAACGCGCAAAUGGACUAUUCGGUCCAAAGCUAUAAACGACGCCGUUUUAUUUAUUACUAAAACUAAAAGAAUGAAUGGCAAUCUGCCAUUUUUCCUUUUACCGCAACAAAACCUCAAUCCCUUCCCCAAAGUUCUCUGUUCCAAAAUCAAAAGGAACAAAGGGUCUUCUCCUUUCUUCCUCUGCCAGGGCACAAAUGGAUCAGCCCCCUGCUGCUAAUCCGCCUUGAUCAUGAAGAACGGCUACAGGAGAAGCCACAAUCAGGUCGUGAAGCCAUGAAAACGGAGCGCACAGACGUGGGGUAGGCAACGCGUAGUUGGGGAUCGUGCGAAGGGCGUGUGUGGAGGCUGCUGGUGAAGGCCGCGGCGUGAAGCAAAAGGAGACCUAGGGUCUCUAAAAACCCCAAUGCUUUGGGCCUAUCUGGCCUUUGUAUUUUUAUUUUAUUGGGCCUUGAUUUGGACUGUUGUAUUUUUUUAUUUUAUUGUUUUGUAUGUGUACGGGCCAGGCAAAAUUUGGGCCUUACAAUCUCUACUCUCAUCAAUGGGGUUUAUAAAAA